UACGGAGGGGGCUAGCGUUGUUCGGAAUUACUGGGCGUAAAGCGCACGUAGGCGGCUAUCCAAGUUGGGGGUGAAAUCCCUGGGCUUAACCCAGGAACUGCCUUCAAAACUGGAUGGCUAGAGUCCGAGAGAGGUGAGUGGAAUUUCCAGUGUAGAGGUGAAAUUCGUAGAUAUUGGAAAGAACACCAGUGGCGAAGGCGGCUCACUGGCUCGGUACUGACGCUGAGGUGCGACAGCGUGGGGAGCAAACAGG
rnacentral:ncRNA from 3 species